CUGCGCUGCGGGAGGAGGAAAUGACUCUGGGUACACGUUUUUCAUGACUCACUCUGAAAAGAAGAAAAUAAGCAGCACCUCUUAUCUCAGGAUACCAAGGGCAAAAAAAGUAAUAUAGCCAUAAAUGACCACCAGGCAUGGUACUUGGGGUCAGAACAAUGUCUCAGUUGGGGAUCCAGCAGGAAACAGCAUCCUUGAAAGGAAUGACUGAAGGAUUUAACGAAGGGACUCGUUACUGCGGUGUGGACAGGUUAAGGGACUAAGGAGGGAGAGUGAGGCACUCAGGGAUUAGAAACAGCAGGAAGCUUUACUGCUUCUAGGCACGAUGAGAGCAGGGCUAGAAGUGGCGUUGUUGGAACCGGAAGCCCUGUGGUCCUGAAGAGGAGCCACCCACUGGGAGCUGUGGCCGUACACAGACAGGGCUGGAACGCAUGGCUUGAUGAACGGUGUGCACAUCUGCAUCUGGGAUCUGAACCCGUGAACCCUGGGCCGCCGAAGCAGAGCAUGCAAACCCGACCACUACCUACUGGGCCAGCCCCUCAGUGAAUGUUUCAAACACAAAGAGCACUUCUGCUACAAAGACAUCUUGUCAAAUUGUUGAAGUUUCUAGAGAGAAUGUUUGCAGUCAAGCACGUGCG
rnacentral:lncRNA from 1 species